rnacentral:rRNA from 2 species
UACGGAGGGGGCCAGCGUUGUUCGGAAUUAUUGGGCGUAAAGGGCGCGUAGGCGGUCCGGCAAGUCAGUUGUGAAAUCCCCUGGCUCACCCAGGGAACUGCUUCUGAAACUGCCAGACUUGAGUCCGGGAGAGGAGAGUGGAAUUCCCAGUGUAGCGGUGGAAUGCGUAGAUAUUGGGAGGAACACCGGUGGCGAAGGCGGCUCUCUGGACCGGUACUGACGCUGAGGCGCGAAAGCUAGGGGAGCAAACAGG